UUGCGUAGGUGGCAUAGUAAGCGAAUAGUGAAAUGACGGGGCUCAACCCCGUGUCCAUUAUUUGAACUACUAAGCUUGAGGACGAGAGAGGUAGAUGGAAUUUCUAGUGUAGGAGUGAAAUCCGUAGAUAUUAGAAGGAACACCGAUGGCGUAAGCAGUCUACUGGCUUGUUCCUGACACUAAGGCACGAAAGCGUGGGGAGCGAACG
rnacentral:rRNA from 1 species